ensembl:lncRNA
GAAGAAUGGGCGGGAUGUCCCAGGGUAGCUCGACACGGUCAUCCAUUUUGCAUUAUCACUGUGAACUUAGAAGACGACGCACACGAGAAGUUCUGCUGAGAUAUUAUUUUCCGUGUUGACUUUAUCUUUACUUCAGUUAUUGCUUCAGAGACAACGCACAUGCCACGAAAAGAUCAUUUUUGAGAGAUUCUUGACUGUAACUUUACUUCGGUUGCACUUCAUAGGUGCUUCCUGGGCAUCAACCCUGAUACAGGAUCUAAAUCCAAGAAGAAGCAGGGAGGCAUCAAUCAGCAAGUUUGUUCUCUGCUGCGCAAACUUGUGGAUUUUGAAUGGAUGGCAACAUGAUCAGAUUUUGUGUUAAAGGAGAACUCCGGUCAAUUUUAACAUUGAGCUCAUUUUUUUGUAAAUUUGGAGUGCUGUCAAUACAGAGAACAACGACAAAAAUCGGUGUUGCCUACACUUGUUAUCCUCUUUUUAAAAUUUGCACCCUGUUGACUUCAAUUGGGCAAUGUUUAAACCUGCUUUUAGCCUCUUAACAUCCUUGAUGUGUCAUUACAAGUGCACAGCCAAUGUGAGUGAUUCCUUCAGAGUGAACACGAGUGAAUCUGACUGCAGUAGAUGUGAAAAAUAUGAAUAAAAAUGAAGUUUUUGUUUAGUAUAUGUUUAGUUACCUAUGAUCACGCGCAUGAACUCGACAAUCGACUACUUUGGACUUCAACCGAAAACAGGAAGUAAAUACAGGUAUGAGCGCUGGCCGAAUUAACUUCAUUUUUAUUCAUAUUUUUCACAUCUACUGCAGUCAGAUUCACCCAUGUUAACUCUAAAAAAAUCACUCACAUUGGCUGUGCACUUGUAAUGACACAUCAAGGAUGUUAAGAGGGUAAAAGCAGGUUUAAAAUAUUGCCCCAUUGAAGUCAACAGGGUGCAAAUUUUAAAAAGAGGAUAACAAGUGUAGGCAACACCGAUUUUUGUCGUUGUUCUCUGUAUUGACAGCACUCCAAAUUUACAAAAAAAUGAGCUCAAUGUUAAAAUUGACCGGAGUUCUCCUUUAAGUAUGUACUCGCAUGAAACCUGUGUGUUGGGGCUUGGGUUACCAUGUUAUUUGUUUUAAUGGUAUUACUUUUUUCAUUUGCUCUGGUCAUUGUUGGCUCUCUCCGUUUUUACUUGCCAUAUCGCCACUGAAUAUGUUGGACUGCCCUUCUGGUCAAGACCUUCACUUCUACCUAUUGUUUUGGUAUUUACCUCUAGCUGUGUUUUUUGGAAUGCCAUCUCGUUGCCAACUCUUGCCCGUUGCCGACUCUUGCCCGCUGUUAUGCAAUGACUCUUGCAACGUUUGUUAUGAUAUUGUUGUAUCAAUUUUAUUGAAAAUAAAAUCAAUUGUGGAAACUGUUGUUUAAUCUUUUUUUU